UACGAAGGGGGCUAGCGUUGUUCGGAAUUACUGGGCGUAAAGCGCACGUAGGCGGAUUGUUAAGUCGGGGGUGAAAUCCUGAGGCUCAACCUCAGAACUGCCUUCGAUACUGGCGAUCUUGAGUUCGGACGAGGUUGGUGGAACAGCUAGUGUAGAGGUGAAAUUCGUAGAUAUUAGCUAGAACACCAGUGGCGAAGGCGGCCAACUGGUCCGAUACUGACGCUGAGGUGCGAAAGCGUGGGGAGCAAACAGG
rnacentral:rRNA from 1 species